GUCUACAGCCAUACCACCCUGAACACGCCCAAUCUUGUCUGAUCUCGGAAGCUAAGCAGGGUUGGGCCUGGUUAGUACUUGGAUGGGAGAAAUAACUAAAUUUUAGAGG
ensembl:rRNA 5S_rRNA 5S ribosomal RNA